rfam:Triticum aestivum genome assembly, contig: Triticum_aestivum_CS42_TGACv1_scaffold_146084_2BS
CAGGUACUCCCUUACUCCGAAAAUACUUGUCAUCAAAAUGGAUAAAAGGGGAUGUAUCUAAAAUAUACAUCUCCUUUUAUCCAUUUUGAUGACAAGUAUUUCCAGAUGGAGGGAGUACGUA